rnacentral:rRNA from 1 species
ACGAACGCUGGCGGCGUGCUUAACACCUGCCAGUCGAACGGAAAGGCCCUGCUUUUGUGGGGUGCUCGAGUGGCGAACGGGUGAGUAACACGUUAGUAACCUGCCCUUGACUUUGGGAUAACUUCAGGAAACUGGGGCUAAUACCGGAUAGGAGCUCCUGCUGCAUGGUGGGGGUUGGAAAGUUUCGGCGGUUGGGGAUGGACUCGCGGCUUAUCAGCUUGUUGGUGGGGUAGUGGCUUACCAAGGCUUUGACGGGUAGCCGGCCUGAGAGGGUGACCGGCCACAUUGGGACUGAGAUACGGCCCAGACUCCUACGGGAGGCAGCAGUGGGGAAUAUUGCACAAUGGGCGGAAGCCUGAUGCAGCAACGCCGCGUGCGGGAUGACGGCCUUCGGGUUGUAAACCGCUUUCGCCUGUGACGAAGCGUGAGUGACGGUAAUGGGUAAAGAAGCACCGGCUAACUACGUG